AUUUUUGUAAGGCUUUAUCCAAGGUUGUUGCAUGUUUUGAGAUAUACAAAGAUGGGGGAUCUUUAGGUGGAGUACCUUUUGCAUCAUGAUUUAUCGAUGGGUGAGAGCAGUUGUUCGGGUCCGAAGGAGUACGGUUUUUGAGGCACAUGUUGAGCAGGUAAUGAGUGAGCGGGUAGCUUUUUAGAUAGUGCUUUAGAGGGAUGAUAAAUAAGACGUGUAUUCUAAUAUCUGAUGGGGGGUUGUGCUUUAGGCGUAAGUUUAGUGCCAGGAGGUGUUAAACUAGUUAAGAACUCGUGUAUAUGUGGGAGGCGUGUAGGGUUAGAAGUACCCUGUGCUAAGUAAAUGUUAUUAUAAAUCCGUUAUGCUAUAUUGUGUGGUUUUAUGGGAGUCGCCCCUCGCCAGAAUUGUUUGUGAGGUAUAAUGGUAGAAUGAGUAUAUAUUGUUAAUAUUGACUUCCUAUCUCGGAAGUUGUCGGUCUGUUUAGUAAAAACAUAGCCAUUAGUAUAAUGUUUAAUGGUAAAGCCUGCCCUAUGCAUGCGAGUGUAAAUGGCCGCAGUAAUUUGACUGUGCAAAGGUAGCAUAAUUAAUUGUCUCGUAAUUGGGGGAUUGUUUGAAAGGUUAGACUAGGCAAUGGUUAGGAGGUUGGUUGUUUAGAAAUUGGAGGUUUGGUGCAGAUUCCAAACGAAGUUAGUUAGACGGAAAGACCCCGAGAGCUUUAUACUUUUGUGUUUAUCUGGGGCAGAGGCGUAUUUUUCAUGCGUUUUAGGAUCCUAAGGGGUUACAGGUGUAAGUUACCUCGGGGAUAACUAGGUAAGAAGCAAUAAGAGAUCCUAUCGCUUUGCUUAUUUGCCAUCUCGAUGUUGAUUUAAGGUAACGCAGAGGCGCAGUAGUUUUUGUGUUAGGUCUGUUCGACCUUUAUUCCUUUCAUGAGUUGAGUUAAGACCGGCGUGAGCCAGGUCGGUUCUUAUCUGCUAGUCUUGUGAGUUAGUACGAAAGGAUUGCUUGCAAUUUAUGUU
rnacentral:rRNA from 1 species